GACGAACGCUGGCGGCGUGCUUAACACAUGCAAGUCGAACGGAAAGGCCCUGCUUUUGUGGGGUGCUCGAGUGGCGAACGGGUGAGUAACACGUGAGUAACCUGCCCUUGACUUUGGGAUAACUUCAGGAAACUGGGGCUAAUACCGGAUAGGAGCUCCUGCUGCAUGGUGGGGGUUGGAAAGUUUCGGCGGUUGGGGAUGGACUCGCGGCUUAUCAGCUUGUUGGUGGGGUAGUGGCUUACCAAGGCUUUGACGGGUAGCCGGCCUGAGAGGGUGACCGGCCACAUUGGGACUGAGAUACGGCCCAGACUCCUACGGGAGGCAGCAGUGGGGAAUAUUGCACAAUGGGCGGAAGCCUGAUGCAGCAACGCCGCGUGCGGGAUGACGGCCUUCGGGUUGUAAACCGCUUUCGCCUGUGACGAAGCGUGAGUGACGGUAAUGGGUAAAGAAGUACCGGCUAACUACGUA
rnacentral:rRNA from 1 species